rnacentral:rRNA from 1 species
GGACUACUGGGGUAUCUAAUCCUGUUCGCUCCCCACGCUUUCGCUCCUCAGUGUCAGUGCCAGCCCAGAGCGCCGCCUUCGCCGCUGGUGUUCCUCCUGAUAUCUGCGCAUUUCACCGCUACACCAGGAAUUCCACGCUCCCCUACUGGACUCUAGUCACGACAGUAUCGGGUGGCGUCUCCAGGUUGAGCCUGGAGGUUUCACACCCGACUUAUCGAACCACCUACGAGCUCUUUACGCCCAAUAAAUCCGGACAACGCUCGCCCCCUACGUGUUACCGCGGCUGCUGGCAC